GGGGGUGUCUGUUGCAAUGGAUUUAGUGGGAAAAGAAGUAUAAAAACCACAGUGCCGUGGAAUAUCAAACACUUGCCACACAACGUUCGAAGUAGGUCAACGCAUGACCCUGUACAAAACCUGCCAAGUUAUAGACACGGACCACUGUGGUCGUCACUUUUUAACGAAGACAAACCACUUCCGGGUCACAGUGUCUCGCAGAUUGACAAAAAGAUAUGCUGCAAUGACCCGUCACCAUACUGGAUUGGCGGUCGACUACAUCCGAAAGCUCAAUACAGAGGACCAGACAGGAGGGCGUAUCCUAACUGCUUUGGUGAGAGUUUACGACGUGCUCAAGCAGUUGGGGACACGGCUACCCUAGCGAGGUGUCUCAAGCAAGCCGCACAAAAGCUUGGAUAAUGCGCACGAAACGGAACAAAUUUUAUUAUCUGUAAGUGACUACAUCAACGACGUCAGCGUGCUCGGCCCAGAAGCAACAGAAGUACUUUGUUAGCGACUACAUUAAACUGUUACUAGGUCACUCUUCUAUGCACAUUACAAACAUUAUGCGAGUGGCGCAGUACCUUUAACGAACAUAAUUAUUACAAUGGGAGAAUGUUCAAAUAUGGCGUUGUUUACAACAGUUCACGGUCAUGGAACAGUUCAGUCUUCUCUCUCUAACUGCUUGUGUCGCUUUUUGGUUGUGUCACCAGUAUGAGGUGUGCUGGUCUUAAAGUAGGCUGGAAA